AGCGAACGCUGGCGGCAGGCUUAACACAUGCAAGUCGAGCGGGCACUUUCGGGUGUCAGCGGCGGACGGGUGAGUAACGCGUGGGAACGUGCCCUCUGGUUCGGAAUAACUCAGGGACACUUGAGCUAAUACCGGAUACGCCCUUUUGGGGAAAGGCUUGCUGCCGGAGGAUCGGCCCGCGUCUGAUUAGCUAGUUGGUGAGGUAACGGCUCACCAAGGCGACGAUCAGUAGCUGGUCUGAGAGGAUGAUCAGCCACACUGGGACUGAGACACGGCCCAGACUCCUACGGGAGGCAGCAGUGGGGAAUAUUGGACAAUGGGCGCAAGCCUGAUCCAGCCAUGCCGCGUGAGUGAUGAAGGCCUUAGGGUUGUAAAGCUCUUUUAUCCGGGACGAUAAUGACGGCACCGGAGGAAUAAGCCCCGGCUAACUUCGUG
rnacentral:rRNA from 1 species